CCCCUCUCAGGGUCGCACCUGGAGAGUUUCCAAUACUCUACCAGUCUCGGCUCCUGGAGGGAGAGUCAAGCAGGGGCAGACUCAUUCGAUUCCUAGCUUGGCCAGUGGCUAGUGAGUGGAAGGCAAUCUGCUACAAGU